rnacentral:rRNA from 1 species
CCUACGGGAGGCAGCAGUAAGGAAUAUUGGACAAUGCUCGCAAGAAUGAUCCAGCCAUGCCGCGUGCAGGAAGACGGCCCUAUGGGUUGUAAACUGCUUUUGAACUAGAGAAAACCCUCCUACGUGUAGGAGGCUGAUAGUAUAGUUAGAAUAAGCAUCGGCUAACUUCGUGCCAGCAGCCGCGGUAAGACGAAGGAUGCAAGCGUUAUCCGGAUUCAUUGGGUUUAAAGGGAGCGUAGGUGGACUGAUAAGUCAGUGGUGAAAUCCCUCGGCUUAACCGAGAAAUUGCCAUUGAUACUGUUGGUCUUGAGUACAGUUGCUGUGGGCGGAAUAUGACAUGUAGUGGUGAAAUACAUAGAGAUGUCAUAGAACACCGAUUGCGAAGGCAGCUCACAAAGCUGUAACUGACACUGAGGCUCGAAAGUNCGGGGAUCAAACAGGAUUAGAUACCCUGGUAGUCCGCACCGUAACGAUGAU